GGGAAGAGACUUCAGGUGACAUUGAAAU
rnacentral:piRNA from 1 species